rnacentral:rRNA from 1 species
UACGGGGGGAGCAAGCGUUGUUCGGAUUUACUGGGCGUAAAGGGCGCGUAGGCGGUCAGCACAAGUCAGUUGUGAAAUCUCCGGGCUUAACUCGGAAAGGUCAACUGAUACUGCGGGGCUAGAGUGCAGAAGGGGCAACUGGAAUUCUCGGUGUAGCGGUGAAAUGCGUAGAUAUCGAGAGGAACACCUGCGGCGAAGGCGGGUUGCUGGGCUGACACUGACGCUGACAGCGCGAAAGCUAGGGGAGCGAACGGG